AAGUCAGGAGCUGAUUAGUGGUUGAAGGCAGCUGAUCUGUUUCGAAUCCUGUGUGUCCGGAGAGGCCAACGCUUUCAUUAGCCAGCAGGAAUGGGCUGGGGCGCGUUUGUAGUUGGGAAUCCUGAGCCCGGGCUGUUGCUUGGAGGACUCGGGAGCAGCAGUGGAUUUCGGCGUUACCAGGAGAGCUAUGUAUAGGAAUGCCGCUAUGGAAAGACAUCCAGGACACCUUGUUAAGUGAAAAAAGACAUGCCACCAUUAGGGCUUCAUUUCCCUGCAGUCUUCUUUAAAUACCAAAACUGCCCUGGGAAGGAUAAGACAUCAGUUUCUUCAUACUUCAGAGCAAAUGGGAUUGAUUCCCAGGACCUCCUUUCUGUGGACUGGGUUUUUGCCUCCUCACCAAGAGACUGGGCUCCCUGGGCGAGCAGAGGCUGCUGGGUUCAGUAUCUGAACACUUUUGCUAAAGGUCUCUGGAAAGCUCCCUGUGUUAAUUCUCGAUGAGACUACGUCUGUGCCGGCCGCUUCCUGAGCCUCCUUCCAUGUGCAUAGGCCUGCUGCAUGCUGGAGACCUGCGGCACAGCUGCCAAGUGCCCCGUGUGGUUCUGUGAUCUUGGGACAGUCACUUCCUCUCUGUGGUUGUCAGUCUUCUCAUCCCUAAGCACUCAAGAAGCCCUUCCUUCUCUGGCUGUCAAGUCUGGACUCAUCUCUUGUCUUACACACGGACAGUUGUUUUAAGGAAAAGCCCCUGGUUGGACUUGCAGAUUGGGCACAGCCCUGGACGUAUACUACAGGUGCUCAUCAAGGCUUGCCUCAUCUGUUUACCCUCCAGGUCAUGCCCCUUUCUACCUCUACACCCUGUUGCAUUGCGGGCAUGGCCUCCGGAAAAGUCAAGCAUGGCGAAAGGAAGCGUGGCCCAGAGCUGGCACGCCACAGGCAAAUGGAAUAAAAAGGCCUACCUCAUUGGGCUCGUGUGGGUGAGGAGAACUGAAGAGUCUGAGAGCGCGGCACGAGCCAGAGGCUACGGAAAACACUGCCCUCCUACACUCCACCUUGGAGAGACCCAGAAAAGAACAAGCUUCAUUUGUAAAAAAGGAAAACAA
rnacentral:lncRNA from 1 species